UACGUAGGGGGCAAGCGUUGUCCGGAAUCAUUGGGCGUAAAGCGCGCGUAGGCGGCCCGGUAAGUCCGCUGUGAAAGUCGGGGGCUCAACCCUCGGAUGCCGGUGGAUACUGUCGGGCUUGAGUGCGGAAGAGGCGAGUGGAAUUCCCGGUGUAGCAGUGAAAUGCGUAGAGAUCGGGAGGAACAUCAGUUGCGAAGGCGGCUCUCUGGACCAGCACUGACACUGAGGCACGAAAGCGUGGGGAGCAAACAGG
rnacentral:rRNA from 1 species